rnacentral:rRNA from 1 species
UACGAAGGGGGCUAGCGUUGCUCGGAAUCACUGGGCGUAAAGGGUGCGUAGGCGGGUUUUUAAGUCAGAGGUGAAAUCCUGGAGCUCAACUCCAGAACUGCCUUUGAUACUGAAAAUCUUGAGUAUGGGAGAGGUGAGUGGAACUGCGAGUGUAGAGGUGAAAUUCGUAGAUAUUCGGAAGAACACCAGUGGCGAAGGCGGCUCACUGGACCGGCAUUGACGCUGAGGAGCGAAAGCUAGGGGAGCAAACGGG